CUGACCAAAGUUAACAACCAACAGCUCUGGGUACCAGAAUGUUAACAGCGCUGGUAACAGUUUUGGGCCAGUGGAAAGUAGCAUUGAGUUGGCCUAAAAUUGUUACCAACGCUGGCAAGUUUUUAAGGUACAGCACACGAGUAGCGUAACGGCGAAUUUCGUAACUAAAACGCGUCUUGUUCAGGAUGACAUCUGGACAUUUUCCACCGCGGAAAAUGUAUAAAAUUUAGUUUUUUGCGGUAUCUUAGUGGAAAACUUUUCUUCUGAAAGGAUGAAUCACAUGAACCUGUGGGCCUGAAAGCGGAUUUGGGAAAGUCUAGCACGGAGAAAAUUCCGACAGAUCAUCCCAAAGGCAAGAGACAAGAGGCAAGGAGGCAAGAGACAAGACAGCACCAGACAGCUUGAGAAUAAGUGCAACAAUUCCUGCCUCAUUCGGUAUUUUUAAGAUAUUGUGAUUUUCUUUAUUUUUUUUUUUAUAUGAAAUAAAAUGUAAUUUAAUUAAAAAAAUGUUUUAUUAUUUAAAAAAGUAAAAAACGAUUUUGAAAAACUCUUGUUAACACAGAAGUAACACUGGUGUUAACAGAAUGGUAACAACUCUGGUAACAGAAUGUUAACAGCGACAGCUAAAAAUUUAGCUAUUAGUUCCACUAGUGUCCACCAUGAACGCAAAAGUGUCUCAUUUUGGAACAAAAAGUCAGAUGAAUUUGUUAGGCAACCUAACAACUCUGUUAACAGAGUUGUUAACAGCUGGUUACCAACUGUUAACACCUGGUCAGUUGGGUAU